GAACCAUACAUAGAAAACGACAUUUGUUACAGUAAACUGCUAUAAAAUACUUCGCGGAAACAAACCUACACUGUUUAUCUUGUUAAAUAGUCGAUUGUGCAUGCAAACUUGAGCUGCGUGAAAUUUCAACAUACCAUGGUAUUUCUUAGCAUGAAGGGGGUGUUCUUUCUGUUUGCUCUAACCUGUAUCGUGGUGGAAGCAGGAAGGCGCAGAUACCAGACGACGACAACGCCAAGACAAAAAUAUACACCGGCAACGACGCAGACGCCGCCAAAAGGAGGUAGCUACGAGCACGAACAGUUGGCGCUAAACAUAGAAAAAGAACUCAAGGAGAUCAACUCAACUUUGGACGCCAUCUACACGCUUUCGAAUGAGAUGUUUAAAAUUCGGAACGCGUGUCUGGAUGAAUACAAGACAACAUGAUAAGGUUUCGAUUGGUCUGUUCCUGACGAAAUGCCCUAUAUUGGCUGUGUUUUGUUAAUGCAUUUCUAAAAUUAUUUCCUGGUUAAAUAAUUUCGAAAAAUUAACACAUUCUUGGUUUUCUUUGAUAAAUAAAUAUUACGACUUUACGUUUCAAAUAAAUAUAUUUGCAGGAAAUGUUUAAAAACACUCAUCAUCUAAUAAAUACAUUUGUCAUUUUCUCUAAAUAAACUCAGAUGUCAACAAUGGGUCUUUAUGCUGUAUAAAGACACAGAGGAACUACAUCUAAAAUCGUUGUCAUAAACACCUACUCGACCGUAGAAUGUUUCUAAUGUACAUGUUUGACCUUUACACACAUUCGACUGGCAUGGCCUUCUUCCUGAACGUGCAUGAUAACGAUCUGGAUAAAUAUUUUAUUUUAUCGUGCCUCAGAAAGACCAGUUGCUCUGGUUUGCAUUCAACCUUUGAUUAAGUAAAUAAUUAUCAAAUUAAAAAGCAUUG